rnacentral:rRNA from 1 species
GGAAGCAGGGAGGACCACCUCCCAAGGCUAAAUACUACCUGAUGACCGAUAGUGAAGCAGUACCGUGAGGGAAAGGUGAAAAGAACCCCGGGAGGGGAGUGAAAUAGAACCUGAAACCGUGUGCCUACAACCGAUCAAAGCCCCUUAUGAGGGUGAUGAUGUGCUUUUUGUAGAACGAGCCAACGAGUUACGGUAUGUAGCAAGGUUAAGUACUUAAGGUACGGAGCCGAAGGGAAACCAAGUCUUAAUAGGGCGACUAGUUGCAUGCCGUAGACCCGAAACCGGGUGACCUAUCCAUGGCCAGGUUGAAGCGAGGGUAAAACCUCGUGGAGGACCGAACCACGUUGCUGUUGAAAAAGCAUGGGAUGAGCUGUGGAUAGCGGAGAAAUUCCAAUCGAACUCGGAGAUAGCUGGUUCUCCUCGAAAUAGCUUUAGGGCUAGCGUCGGACAUGUGAGUAGUGGAGGUAGAGCACUGAAUGGGCUAGGGGGCAUAGCGCUUACCGAACCUUAUCAAACUCCGAAUGCCACAUACUUUUAAUCCGGCAGUCAGACUGUGAGUGAUAAGAUCCAUGGUCAAAAGGGAAACAGCCCAGAUCGUCAGCUAAGGUCCCAAAGUGUAAGUUAAGUGGGAAAGGAUGUGGGAUUUCUAAGACAACUAGGAUGUUGGCUUAGAAGCAGCCACUCAUUGAAAGAGUGCGUAAUAGCUCACUAGUCGAGAGAUCCUGCGCCGAAAAUGUAACGGGGCUAAACUUACCACCGAAGCUACGGGUUCACACAAUAGUGUGAGCGGUAGAGGAGCGUUGUAAUCGGGCUGAAGUCGUACCGUAAGGAGCGGUGGACUGAUUACAAGUGAGAAUGUUGGCAUCAGUAGCGAGAUGUAGGUGAGAAUCCUACAGGCCGAAUAUCUAAGGUUUCCUCAGGAAGGUUCGUCCGCUGAGGGUUAGUCGGGACCUAAGCCGAGGCCGAAAGGCGUAGGUGAUGGACAAUCGGUUGAUAUUCCGAUACCACUAUAAUCGUUAUUAUCGAUGGUGUGACGGAGAAGGAUAGGAUGUGCUAACUAUUGGAUGUUAGUCUAAGCGUUUAGGGAGUUAGAGUAGGCAAAUCCGCUUUAACAAUCCUGAGGCGUGAUGGGGAAGGUUCCACGGAACCGAAGUAUCUGAUUCCAUGCUUCCAAGAAAAGCAUCUAGAGAGAGAAGUAGUGCCCGUACCGCAAACCGACACAGGUAGAUGAGGAGAGAAUCCUAAGGCCGGCGGAAGAAUUGCAGUUAAGGAACUAGGCAAAUUGACCCCGUAACUUCGGGAGAAGGGGUGCCUACGAGAGUAGGUCGCAGAGAAUAGGCCCAAGCAACUGUUUAGCAAAAACACAGGUCUCUGCUAAAGCGAAAGCUGAUGUAUAGGGGCUGACGCCUGCCCGGUGCUGGAAGGUUAAGGGGAACACUUAGCGUAAGCGAAGGUGUGAA